UUUCUAACAUCGCUCACCCCUCAGAUCCCUCAUUAUUCAGGCUCCACAGUUAUCCACCAUACUGACUCCACAGACCCCGUCCCUCCCCUGACCAUCCACCGUCAGAGACCCUACAGACCUCGUCCCUCCACCAGGGAUCCACCGUCAGAGACCCCACAGACCCCGUCCCUCCACCAGGGAUCCACCGUCAGAGACCCCACAGACCCCGUCCCUCCCCCGCGCAUCCACCGUCAGAGACCCCACAGACCCCGUCCUUCCACCAGGGAUCCACCGUCAGAGACCCCACAGACCCCGCCCCUCCCCCGACCAUACACCGUCAGAGACCCCCACAGACCCCGUCCCUCCCCCGACCAUACACCGUCAGAGACCCCACAGACUCCCAUUAUUCCAUUCACUGCCCGCCCCCUCACUGACCCGACGCUAAUCAUAGACAUCAGAGACUUUUCACAGCUCGGCUACGGAUGCUCCCAUCGCCGCACUCACCUGCCCCUCACCCACGCUCUCUCAAGACAGUGGCCAUUUACCUCCGGCGGUCAUUAAAUCCGGCAGACCUCUCUCACUGGCUCUUGGUCCCUGCGGGAUUCCUUACGCCGCCGCCUGCAUGUGCGCAUGCUCAGUAGAGGCUGCUCGGCUAAAAUCGGCCCUCCCCCCAAUGGCUGACUCGGCGCCAACAUGGCGGCGCCCAUUAGCCACACAGGCCUGCGGGCGGCCAUGUUGAAGUGACGCAGACUGCAGCUCAGAGUUGUCCCGGGGAGAGGGGGCAAGCGGAGGUACUACUCCCGGAGUAAGCCAGGGAACAACCAGAGUCCUUCACCGCAAGGCCCCCAGGGCCUGUCUGCGUGCCCCUGUGUACUCAGCACCACCACUGAGCCGAUCAGCAACUACAGAACACUUCGCCCGGAGACAGCGAGGUACACAUUCUAUUCAAACACCCACGGAGCACGUACCGAGAUAUAGCAUAACCUGGGUCGUAAAACUUAUCAAAUGUAAGGACUGAAAUCACACAGGCUAUGUUCUCUGGACCCAGUAGAAUCAAAGUAGAAAUCAGGAACAGAAAGACGACAGGAAGUUAACACUUAAAAAUUAAACAGCACAGUUCUAAGUAAUCCAUGACCCAAAGGGGGGAGUCUCAAGAUUUUUAAAAUACGUUGAAAGCAAUGAAAAUGAAAACGUAUCAAAAUUUGUAGGCUGUAGCUAAGGCAGCGGUGAGAGGAAAUUCUGUACCAGAGAAAAUUGUAAAGGUUUACGUUACAAAAGAAGAAAAUUCUCAAAUCAAUUACCUACACUCCCGCCUCAAUAAACUAAAAAAGGAAGAGCAAUAAAUCUAUAGUAAGAAGGAAGGAAAUAAUAAAGAGCAGAAACAAUGAAAUUGAAAAACAAUAGAGAAAACAAAACAAUACGCUGAAAUGCGUAGCUGGAAGAGGUAUCUGGCGCCCCGUGUUCAUUGCAGCAUUAUUCAAAGAGCCGAAUCGUACACAACCUAAGCGUUCACCAGUGCAUGAAUGGAUAGAGAAAUGAAGUACGUAAAUACAGUGGCAUGUUUUGCCACAAAAAAGAAGGAAAUUCUGCCAUUUGCAACAACAUGGAUGGAACUUGAUGGUAUUAUGCUAAGUCAAAAAGUCAGAAAAAGACAAAUAUUGUAUGUUCUCCCAUAUAUUUGGAAUCUAAAAAAAUGAAAAAAAAAUUACUGAAUUCAUAGAUACAGAGAAUACAGAUCGGUUGUUGCCAAAGGUGGGGGAUAAGGGGAGUGCUGAGUGAGGGUCUUCAAAAGGUGCAAACUUCCACUUAUGAAAGAAAUAAGUCUUGGGGAUGUAAUGCAUAGCAUGGUGACUAUAAUUAAUAAUACAGUAUUGCAUAUUUGAAAGUUGCUAAGAGAGUAGAACUUAAAAAUCCUCACUGUAAAAAAAAAAAAAAAUAUAUAUAUAUAUAUAUAACUGUGUGGUGAUAGAUGUUAACCAGACUUAUAAUGGUGAUCACUUUGCAAUAUAUACAUAUAGCAAAUAAUGUACACCUGAAACUAAUGUAAUAUGUCCAUUAUAUCUCAAUAAAAAUUGUAAUUAGUGAGAUAAUUGAUGUGUUAACUAAUCUUAUUUUUGUAAUAGUUUUAUAAUAUAUAUGUGCACCAAAUCAUCACGUUGUGUCUUUUAAACUUACACAAUGUUAUAUGUCAAUUAGAUCUUCGUAAAGCUGGGGGACGGAUUCAAACUCAAGCAGUUACUAAAAAAAGACACAAAUAGAUUAAAAUUAAUGGAGAACGCUAUAGCAUGCUAAGUAACACUAACCAAAAGAAAGUUACUUUGCUAUAUUUGAGGGGCGCCUGGGUGGGUACGUCAGUUAAGUAUCUGUCUUCGGCUCAGGUUAUGAUCCCAGCGUUCUGGGAUCCAGCCCCUGUCCGGGUCCCUGCUCAGUAGGGAGUGGGCUUCUACCUUUCCCUCCACCACGCCCUCUGCCACUCCCCCUGCUUGCGCUCUCUUGCUCAUGCUCUCUCUCUCUCAUAAAUAAAAUGUUUUAAAGUGUUAUAUUUGAGACAAGUCUGACGUCAAAAGAAGGAAAAGUAUCAGUGACAAAAAGGGCAUUACAUAAUGAUAUAAAAUACAUAAUAAUAAAAGGGUCAAUUAUUCAAGAUGACAUAAUCUUUAAUGUGUAUGAGGCUAAGAACAAAGAGCUAAAAUAUGUCAGUCAAAAACAGCAAGGAGACUUAGUCAAAUCCACUAUUAUAAUUGGAGACUUCAAUACUCCUCUAUCAGCAGUUGACAAAUCCGGCAGGCAGAAAAUCCAUAGUGAUAUAUUUGAAUGGAACAGCACCAUCAAUCCACUGGAUCUAGUUGACAUUUAUAAAAAUUAUUCAUCCAACAACAUGAUACACAUUACUCUCAAGCUCACAUGAAACACUCACCAAGAUAGACCACAUUAUGGGUCAUUAAACACAUCUUAAGUUCCAGGGAGUACAAACUAUACAAAGCAUGUUCUCAGACAAUAAUGAAAUUAAACUAAAAAUCAGUAACAGAAAAGGAGUUGGAAAAUCCCAAAAUAUCUGAAGACUGAGAACACAGCUCUAAAUAAC
rnacentral:lncRNA from 1 species